GACCUUGUAGCUUAGUUGGCAGAGCAUUGGACUAGUAUCCCAAAGGUCGCGGAUUCGAUUCCCACCGUGGUCA
rnacentral:tRNA from 1 species